UGGUAGAUGCACCCUGAUUUAAUCCCUGGCUUAACCGUCAGGGAUUUUUUUA
rnacentral:sRNA from 1 species